GGGUAAUGUGUUGCCCGGGUAACUGGGUUGAGGAGGUCAGAUAGGCAGUCGCUCCUUGUAAAACACUGGUACUCAGCUGCAUCCAGUUAGACUGGCAGCCGACCCCAACAUAGUUGGGAAAAG
rnacentral:lncRNA from 1 species